CAAUUGAAGGGGAAGAAAAAAAAGAAAACAGAAAGUUCCUGUUUUGUUUUACUUUUGGUCAAAACAAAAAUGUUGUUUACGAUCUAAAGUAUUACAUCUGAUAAUGAAACAUUCAGUUCGCCAUCGAUUAAAAAUGUUAAAUUUGUAGUGAAAUUUUAACUACUUUGUUUUUAAUCUUCUAAAAUUACAUAUGGGUGUCAAAAUAGUAAUACCAGCUAAUAGCUAUGAUGGCUUAGAAACUACUUAUCCAACAGAACAUUCAGCAUUAGUAAUAGAGGAGUAUGUAUGGAACAUCGUAUUUGGAAUGGAACAGUUUGUAUCUAAUCAUUAUCAACAUCUUACAGCAGAGUUAAAAAGAGUUGGAGUUAAGUGGUUUAAUGUAUCACAACUUUAUAGUUUUUUAAGACUAAGAACAAGAAAUUCGAAUCUGUAAUAAGAUUAAUAAUCAUGGGUCUUAUAGAUAUUCUUUUAUGAUCUAGUGUUGAUGAAAUUUAGCAUGUCCCAACAAGAGCAAAAAAUUUGAAUUUAUUUAAUAUAUUAUAUACAAUAUUAUGCAUAUGUAUAAUAGUAUAUUAUGCUUUAUAUAUGUAUUACAAUAUAUAUUUAUUUCAUUUAAUUUGAAAGUUUUUAUUUAGCAGUAGGAAACGACAGUUAUAUAUGAUAUGCUAUUAUAUUUAUAUUAUAGUUAUAUAUGAUAUAUUUAUAUUAUAUUAUCACAAUUAUAUAUAAAAUAAGAGAUCUAUUGUGUAAUUUUUUUUAGCUGGUGUCAUCAUCUGAUGAUUUUUUUUAAGUUUUCUUUUAAUCUCCCUUUUUGGUAUCAAGAAAACAACACCUUUAUUAUGUAAUUCAACCUUUUCUUAAAUUUACUUAUUUUGAGUAUUUAAAAUUCAAAGAUUUAUGUCAAAGUAUCUAUAAUCACCCUAUAGAAAAGAAAAUUUUAUUCACUGGUAUAGCAUCGCUUAUCAACCAACUGUGAUUAUAUACAUGUAUAUAUUUAUUUAUAUAUACGUACAAACGCACAGAAAUAUGCCAGCAAAGCUGAGGAAGGCACUUGCCAGAUUCAUUGUUCUAUACAUUAUUGCUCUAUAUAAUUUUUUUCUCACUUGGAAUUUAAAUUUCUUGAACUUGUUGCAACACCUUCUAUAAUUUAAUAGAUAUUAUUGAAAAGUUAUAAGCAUAUUACUUAAAUAAAAAAUUAUAUACAUUUGUUAUUUGCCCCAGUUUCUCUCCAUUGUCUGAUUAAUUUAAUUAAAAAAUAUUACAAGACUAUUGGUUCAUUAUUUAGAAGCUUGAUUUUUUACAUUAAAUGUAGAAAAUUACAUUUAUAUUAUUUAGUGUUUGUAAUUUUUUCUACUAUUUUUAAUGGACGGUCUGUACAAAUAAAAGUAAAAAGUAUGAAACUUAUUUAUAAUAUGCAUCGGUUUAUUAUUUAAAAUCCUAAUUUUUAUUAUUUUAUAUAAUUUUGUUAUUCCUGGUUGGAUUCGGAAAACAAUUAAUUUUUUGUUUUAAAUCAUGUAACUCUGAUAAUGGAAUCAUCUUCAAGUAUGAUAUACUGAAAUAAAUUAAAAAUAAAUAUUCUUCAAGUGAAUUGAUGCAUGUAGUAUGCACAAUUUUCCCCCAAAAAUGCAUUGCUACCAUUCACUUUAAUUUUGAGUUAGGAAUCGGUUCGAGUUUUCUUCUAGUGUCUGGAGGUUAAAGUACACUAGAAGAGAUCAAAGAAACUAGACAAAGAUUAGUUUUGUGAUAUUUUAACAGUACUUUAUGUAACUAUUAAAUUAGUUCCUACUUUACGCACUUUCUUAAAACUGAAAGAACAUUUAGUUGUUUUUAUAUGUUAAGAAAUUCAAUGAUCUUUCUUUCAAAUCAUUGCCUUUUAGCUUACUUAUUUAAAAAUACUAAGUUAAAGAACUUAAAAAUUAAUAUUAUUUAAAAUAUAUAUUAAUACAAAUAAAUAUAUAUUAAUAUAAAUAAAUAUAUAUACAUUAUAAACUUUUUUUUUAAUAUUUAAUUUUAAAAAAGCUUCUUCCAUUUAAGUUGGAAGAAAUCUAUUUCCUCUAGGGCUGUUUUUUCCAUUGUUGAAGAAGCUUACCAUCAUUGUUUUUAUUGUUAUGGCAAAAUGAAGUCAAAUGUAGUACAGUGAAACCUCACGUUGCGGACACUUCUAAAAAGCGGACGCCUCUCAUUACAGGCAUAUUUUUAAUUUCCCCUUGAUCUUCUAUAAAUAAACCAUGAUGUACCUUCUCUGCAAAACAACUCUCCCAUACCUGGACACAGGCAGUAUUUAUGCGCUGAAGCAUUUUUUUAAUUCUUUUUGAUCUCUUCAAACCAGACAGCGAUUUUUCUAAAUUUAAAAAAAAAUAUAUUCUGCUUUAAAUUCUAAAAUAAAUAAAUUUUUUUAAAAUUGUUUGCCUUAUCCACCACUAAAAAUAUUAAGCUAUUUUACUACUAAAGAAUCGAUCACUCUCUUUGAUAACAAAUGGGAGACUGCUCAUGUGACAUAUUUCAGACAGUGGCAUCUUUUGAUCUCUUUAUUUGAACUGUAUUGGUUAUGAGACCCCAAAGCUGAGAUGGCACCUUUAAUGCUCUCAAUUCUUCUUCCUUACUGAAAAUUCCUUUCUACUUCUAAUCAAUUUCGAGACUGACUGCAUAUAACACAGCUGGGUAAAAAAAGAAAAUCUAGUCAUUGAGGUGUUUAUAUAUAUGAAACAUUUAGUCAGACAUUUUACUGACUGUGAAUAUAACAACUCUGAGUUAUGCCUUACAGGUAUGCAUUGAUGCUUUAUUUUUUCUGUGCAUCCUGGGAGGUAUUAUAGUGUUUCCUAUCAAGUGAUGGGUAGGUCUAAAGGGGUGUAAACCUAAUUAUUAAACUGAUUGCACAAAUGACAUAGGACUAAAAGCUCCUAUUCAGUAACAUAUGUCUGUGUAAAUAAGAAAAACAUAUUCAUUUCUAUGUAGCUACAUCUUGAAUUAUGUAUAUAGUAUAUGGAACUUUUUCAUAUAUUCUUUUGUAUUGAAAAGUAUUUUUUUUUAAUAAAUAUCAUUGCGAAUAGUUACUGUAGAUUAUUUAAAUAUUUUAUAUCAUUGCAAUUAUUCUAAAAACAAUUUACAAAACUUCGUUUUUAGUGUACCCUUCUCAUAAGCGGACAAUUUUUUCAAUUUCAAGAGUGUCCGCCCAAUAGAGGUUUCACUAUAUUUAAAUAAGUAUAAUUGUUUAAAUUUGACACUUCCUUUUUUCUUUAGAUAAAUAUACAUAAUCAUGUUUUGGCAUUACUUCACAAGUUAUUCAUUUCAUUCCCAUUGCUGUAUUUUUGAGGUUUUCUAUUAUAUUCGUUUUAUAAUCUAUCUUGGUUAUGAAGUUGUAAUCAAUUGUGAGAACUACCUUACAAAUUGUAACUGUACCACUGUCUGCUAGAUGCUAAUAAGGAUAGAACAAAAUAAAGAAAUAUAUGUCCGUA